rnacentral:rRNA from 1 species
GAAUUUUGGACAAUGGGGGAAACCCUGAUCCAGCCAUGCCGCGUGCAGGAUGAAGGCCUUCGGGUUGUAAACUGCUUUUGUACGGAACGAAAAGACUCUUUCUAAUACAGAGGGUCCAUGACGGUACCGUAAGAAUAAGCACAGGCUAACUACGUGCCAGCAGCCGCGGUAAUACGUAGGGUGCAAGCGUGAAUCGGAAUUACUGGGCGUAAAGCGUGCGCAGGCGGUUAUAUAAGACAGAUGUGAAAUCCCCGGGCUCAACCUGGGAACUGCAUUAGUGACUGUAUAGCUGGAGUGCGGCAGAGGGGGAUGGAAUUCCGCGUGUAGCAGUGAAAUGCGUAGAUAUGCGGAGGAACACCGAUGGCGAAGGCAAUCCCCUGGGCCUGCACUGACGCUCAUGCACGAAAGCGUGGGGAGCAAA